CGUAAGUUCAAAUCAGAAGUAAAAGAAUCUAAAGUUUUAAAAAAUUCGUAAAUUUUUGGAAGCUAAAGUUUUAAAGUUUAUUCUGCGAAAUGACCCCAAAAAAUGCCAAACGAACCGAAUUUCGGACAUGCAAUUGAUGACGUCGCCGUCGCCACAGGACAAUGACGUCGUUACUCAGUCAGGCCAAGAUCGCGUGCCAAUGUCCUGUAAAAUUUGCAUAGCCACCAUAGAAACGUCGUCUAAAGGAGCAAGCAUGGGAAUGGAAAUGGGAAUGGAAUUGGCUGGUCAAAGAAGUCAUUUGUUAGCCGCUUAAGAUAUUUCCGGCACGCGCCCUCAACGAAAUAUAUGAAUCUAUUUGUAUAUAUUUAUCUAUCUACAAGUAUUAUGCGUUGUAUUACACUUGUGUUUAUGAACUGUGUGGAAUGGAGUGAAGUAGAGUGGAGUGGAGGGCAAUGGCAGGCAAUCCUGUGACAGUUUUAUGAACUGCAGACGAGCCAGUUAUGAGAGUGUAAACGUUGUUAAUGACGUAAGCGAGCAUCUGAUAUGGCGGCAACUGUUUACGUGCCCUUGUAAUGAUUACAUUGCGUAAUGAAAACAACCAACAAACUAACUGACCAGCAAACAAGCAAUAAUAACAAGAAGGGAAGGCAGAACAUGUAGCUAAAGUUUGCCAAACUAUUGUUUGAUUAACUAUAUAUGUAUAUCAUGCCAUACGAAAUAAACUAUGUGGUAUGGUGAAAUUAAGCUAAAGAACUAAUCAUCUAUUUAAAUAUGAAUGUUUCCCCAUUUAGGCAUUGCGUUUAUCUGAAGAUACGGCGCAUUAAUUAAUGAAUCAUUUAGUGGCUAUUAGUCACAGAAAAAGUGUCAGUUAGCAACUAUCU